AAGGAUUUAAGUUAAAUUAAACUUAUAGCCUUCAAAGCUAUAAAUAAAGAAUAAUAAAUUCUUUAAGCCUUA
rnacentral:tRNA from 1 species